UACGUAGGGGGCAAGCGUUGUCCGGAAUCAUUGGGCGUAAAGCGCGUGUAGGCGGCCCGAUAAGUCCGCUGUGAAAGUCCAGGGCUCAACCCUGGGAUGCCGGUGGAUACUGUCGGGCUCGAGUCCGGAAGAGGCGAGUGGAAUUCCUGGUGUAGCGGUGAAAUGCGCAGAUAUCAGGAGGAACACCAAUGGCGAAGGCAGCUCGCUGGGACGUUACUGACGCUGAGACGCGAAAGCGUGGGGAGCAAACAGG
rnacentral:rRNA from 1 species